rnacentral:rRNA from 1 species
AGCGAACGCUGGCGGCAGGCUUAACACAUGCAAGUCGAGCGGGCACCUUCGGGUGUCAGCGGCAGACGGGUGAGUAACACGUGGGAACGUACCCUUUGGUUCGGAACAACUCUGGGAAACUGGAGCUAAUACCGGAUACGCCCUUAUGGGGAAAGGUUUACCGCCGAAGGAUCGGCCCGCGUCUGAUUAGCUAGUUGGUGAGGUAACGGCCCACCAAGGCGACGAUCAGUAGCUGGUCUGAGAGGANGAUCAGCCACACUGGGACUGAGACACGGCCCAGACUCCUACGGGAGGCAGCAGGUGGGGAAUAUUGGACAAUGGGCGCAAGCCUGAUCCAGCCAUGCCGCGUGAGUGAUGAAGGCCUUAGGGUUGUAAAGCUCUUUCGCCCGCGACGAUGAUGACGGUAGCGGGAGAA